rnacentral:misc_RNA from 1 species
GUAUUAAUUGCGUGUGAUCGCAAAAGAAAAACAUUCUACACUGCAUCAAUGUUUGUGUGAAAACGCAAGCCCCCCUCCGAACAAGCCGAAAGGGGGACCCACGCGGUGGUGCACAUAGGGGUGAGAUGGAUGGUGUGUGAGAGCACUCGGGCGUGCACGACAAAAAGUCAGCGACAGCCCUUGCGCCUCGGUUAUGCGAUAAUGAUCCUUCCGCAGGUUCACCUACGGAAA